AGACAGGUGCUGCAUGGCUGUCGUCAGCUCGUGUCGUGAGAUGUUGGGUUAAGUCCGCAACGAGCGCAACCCUUGCCUUUAGUUGCCAGCAGUUCGGCUGGGCACUCUAAAGGGACUGCCGGUGUUAACCGGAGGAAGGUGGGGAUGACGUCAAGUCCUCAUGGCCUUUAUGACCUGGGCUACACACGUGCUACAAUGGUCGGUACAAAGGGUUGCCAAGCCGCGAGGUGGAGCUAAUCCCAUAAAACCGAUCGUAGUCCGGAUCGCAGUCUGCAACUCGACUGCGUGAAGUCGGAAUCGCUAGUAAUCGUGAAUCAGAAUGUCACGGUGAAUACGUUCCCGGGCCUU
rnacentral:rRNA from 1 species